rnacentral:snoRNA from 16 species
GCCAUGAAGAUAAAGAUGACGAGAAUGACGGUUUUCUUUGAGUUGGAUGCCAAAGUUUUUUUGGUAUUCAAUGAGAAGAGACCUCUAAGUGAUUCUAAAUGAGGCAUUUGACAGAGCA